UGAGGGAUCUUGCGCAAUGGGCGAAAGCCUGACGCAGCGACGCCGCGUGGAUGAAGAAGGUCUUCGGAUCGUAAAAUCCUUUUCUGUGUGACGAGAGUAAGGACGGUAGCACAGGAAUAAGUCUCGGCUAACUACGUGCCAGCAGCCGCGGUAAAACGUAGGAGGCGAGCGUUAUCCGGAGUGACUGGGCGUAAAGCGCGUGUAGGCGGCUUACCAGGUCGGAUGUGAAAGCUCCCAGGCUAAACCGGGAGAGGACAUUGGAAACCGGUGAGCUAGAGGCUGGAAGAGGGACAUGGAGUUCCGGGUGUAGUGGUGAAAUGCGUAGAGAUCCGGAGGAACACCAGAGGCGAAGGCGGUGUCCUGGUCCAGAACUGACGCUGAGACGCGAAAGCAUGGGGAGCGAACGGGAUUAGAUACCCCCGUAGUCC
rnacentral:rRNA from 1 species